rnacentral:rRNA from 1 species
CACGUAGGGCGCAAGCGUUGUCCGGAAUUAUUGGGCGUAAAGAGCUCGUAGGCGGUCUGUUGCGUCCGCUGUGAAAACCCGGGGCUUAACCCCUGGCUUGCAGUGGAUACGGACAGACUAGAGGUAGGUAGGGGAGAAUGGAAUUCCCGGUGUAGCGGUGAAAUGCGCAGAUAUCGGGAGGAACACCGGUGGCGAAGGCGGCUCACUGGCCCGGUACUGACGCUGUGGCGCGAAAGCGUGGGGAGCAAACAGG